rnacentral:rRNA from 1 species
UACGUAGGGAGCAAGCGUUGUCCGGAAUCAUUGGGCGUAAAGCGCGCGUAGGUGGCCCCGUAAGUCCGUUGUGAAAGUCAAAGGCUCAACCUUUGAAAGCCGAUGGAUACUGUGGGGCUAGAGUACGGAAGAGGCGAGUGGAAUUCCCGGUGUAGCGGUGAAAUGCGCAGAUAUCAGGAGGAACACCGAUGGCGAAGGCAGGUCUCUGGGCCACUACUGACGCUGAGAAGCGAAAGCAUGGGGAGCGAACAGG